GCGGAAAUGGCGGAAUUGGUAGACGCACACGUUUCAGGGGCGUGCGCCCGUGAGGGUGUGCGGGUUCGACUCCCGCUUUCCGCA
rnacentral:tRNA from 2 species